rnacentral:rRNA from 1 species
UACAGAGGGUGCAAGCGUUACUCGGAAUUACUGGGCGUAAAGCGCACGUAGGCGGCUUGGUAUGUCGGGUGUGAAAUCCCCGGGCUCAACCUGGGAACUGCAUCCGAAACUGCCCUGCUCGAGUAUGGGAGAGGGAAGUGGAAUUUCCGGUGUAGCGGUGAAAUGCGUAGAUAUCGGAAGGAACAUCAGUGGCGAAGGCGACUUCCUGGACCAAUACUGACGCUCAGGUGCGAAAGCGUGGGGAGCAAACAGG